AACGAACGCUGGCGGCAUGCCUAACACAUGCAAGUCGAACGAGACCUUCGGGUCUAGUGGCGCACGGGUGCGUAACGCGUGGGAAUCUGCCCCUUGGUUCGGAAUAACAGUUAGAAAUGACUGCUAAUACCGGAUGAUGACGAAAGUCCGAAGAUUUAUCGCCGAGGGAUGAGCCCGCGUAGGAUUAGCUAGUUGGUGAGGUAAAGGCUCACCAAGGCGACGAUCCUUAGCUGGUCUGAGAGGAUGAUCAGCCACACUGGGACUGAGACACGGCCCAGACUCCUACGGGAGGCAGCAGUGGGGAAUAUUGGACAAUGGGCGAAAGCCUGAUCCAGCAAUGCCGCGUGAGUGAUGAAGGCCUUAGGGUCGUAAAGCUCUUUACCAGGGAUGAUAAUGACAGUACCUGGAGAAU
rnacentral:rRNA from 1 species